GAAAUGCGAUAAGUAAUGUGAAUUGCAGAAUUCAGUGAAUCAUCGAAUCUUUGAACGCACAUUGCGCCCAUUAGUAUUCUAGUGGGCAUGCCUGUUCGAGCGUCAUUUCAACCCUUAAGCCUAGCUUAGUGUUGGGAAUCUACUGUGGUAGUCUACUACCUUGUAGUUCCUGAAAUGAAACGGCGGGUCUGCAGUAUCCUCUGAGCGUAGUAAAUUUUUAUCUCGCUUUUGUAAGGUGCUGUGGCUCUUGCCGCUAAACACCCAAUUUUUAAUGGUUGACCUCGGAUCAGGUAGGAAUACCCGCUGAACUUAA
rnacentral:misc_RNA from 1 species